AGUGAACGCUGGCGGUAGGCCUAACACAUGCAAGUCGAACGGCAGCACAGUAAGAGCUUGCUCUUACGGGUGGCGAGUGGCGGACGGGUGAGGAAUACAUCGGAAUCUACUUUUUCGGGGGGGAUAACGUAGGGAAACUUACGCUAAUACCGCAUACGACCUACGGGUGAAAGCAGGGGAUCUUCGGACCUUGCGCGAUUGAAUGAGCCGAUGUCGUAUUAGCUAGUGGGCGGGGUAAAGGCCCACCAAGGCGACGAUCCGUAGCGGGUCUGAGAGGAUGAUCGGCCACACUGGAACUGAGCCACGGUCCAGACUCCUACGGGAGGCAGAAGUGGGGAAUAUUGGCCAAUGGGCGCAAGCCUGCUCCAGCCAUACCGCGUGGGUGAAGAAGGCCUUCGGGUUGUAAAGCCCUUUUGUUGGGAAAGAAAAGCAGCAGGUUAAUACCCCGCUGUUCUGACGGUACCCAAAGAAUAAGCACCGGCUAACUUCGUG
rnacentral:rRNA from 1 species